rnacentral:rRNA from 1 species
GAUGAACGCUGGCGGCGUGCCUAAUACAUGCAAGUCGAGCGAACAGACGAGGAGCUUUCUCCUCUGACGUUAGCGGCGGACGGGUGAGUAACACGUGGAUAACCUACCUAUAAGACUGGGAUAACUUCGGGAAACCGGAGCUAAUACCGGAUAAUAUAUUGAACCGCAUGGUUCAAUAGUGAAAGACGGUUUUGCUGUCACUUAUAGGUGGAUCCGCGCCGCAUUAGCUAGUUGGUAAGGUAACGGCUUACCAAGGCAACGAUGCGUAGCCGACCUGAGAGGGUGAUCGGCCACACUGGAACUGAGACACGGUCCAGACUCCUACGGGAGGCAGCAGUAGGGAAUCUUCCGCAAUGGGCGAAAGCCUGACGGAGCAACACCGCGUGAGUGAUGAAGGUCUUCGGAUCGUAAAACUCUGUUAUUAGGGAAGAACAAAUGUGUAAGUAACUAUGCACGUCUUGACGGUACCUAAUCAGAAAGCCACGGCUAACUACGUG